ACCUAGGUGCUCAGCUCUGAGAUGUGUCACAACAUUGCCCAAUACAGGCAGGCCACAGGCGGGAGAGUCACAUUUCCUGGGUGCUUGGCCCAGUGGUAUGUCACAUUUCCUUAUGUAGGAAGGGCACACGUAGCAAGAGAGAGUCACAUUACCUAGGUACUGUGCUAGAGCUAUCAGUCUCUGUGUCGUUCAAUGUGAGAGUUAUGAUCUCUUUAGACAUCCAUGUAACAGAGCCUCAACUCCUUCAUCCUCAGAUGUAAAGGCUAGUGAAGACCAAAUAAGCCUUGAAAGGUAAUUCCCCUAAAAAGGCAGAAUGUCUUAGGCUUUGGCCUCUCCCCUUCAAGCACAAUGAGAUCAUAACCUCUCUUUUGACUUCUCACUAUGCCCAGCACUGGAACAAAGCUCCUGACUCCACACCCUCACCUUUCCACCCUUGUGCCUUCACUGGGCAGACAAGAGAUGAGAAGACCUGAACUCUGGGACAGUCUGGGGAGAAAAGAAUCCAAAAAGGGUUGAGGCGGCAAGGGCUGAGCUCCCACGGGUGCCCCGGCCCAAAGGUGCAGGUCCAGGCUGUUUUCCAGGUGGCAUUCAGUGCAGGUUCUUCAAUGCCACUGGAAGGCAUGAAAAACCCACUGUAGCUGCUGCUGCUUCCUUUUCUUAAGCUGUGAAAAUGCAAACACUUUUUCAAGGUUUUCAGAUAUGCCCAGGUACCCCCAACUGAAAAGGAGGAUAAUGGCAUUGUUCAUCAUGGCUUAUUGUCUUGCCCAGGCAGGAGCCAGCCCCUGACUCGCCAAUCCAGCUGCCCCAGGCUGGAGGUGAUCCUUUCGAGCCUCCUCCCUGCAACUCCACUCCUCUUUUUUCUCUUCCUCAACCACCGGCAUACUUUUGGUCAUCCUCCUUGUUGUCACAAUGGGGGCGUGAUGCCAUAAAGACCUGGGAACCCCAAUGAUCUCAGGUCCCGCAGGGGUCAGGUGAGCAUAUAGGAAGUCCAGAAGGACAGUCAUCUGCCACCUCCAGUUGAAAAAGAACAAAACCCUCGCACUCCAGAAAUGAGUCAAGAACCCAGCGAAGGCCACAGGUCUAGCCCACAACCACCUAGGUAUGUGGGGUCCUCCAAGGCUCACGCUUGUGUCCUGCAGGCUGGAGCCCAUGCGAGGGUCUGCAGUCUUUGUUCCGGAUGGGGAACUACUGCUUCAGCUGGUUACCCAGGUGUCCCCGAUGGGGAAAGGAAGGAAAUGGUGAGAAUCUUCAGCACAACGGAUCACAUCACCCUGGCAGAGACCAGUCCGGCCUGUGCAUGGCACCAGCAGCCGCAGGCUAGAGGCAGUCAUGUCAGGCCUCCUCCAUACAGCAUCUCUCCUGCUUUUUUUUCAAACGGCCCUAAUCACUUAAUUUGGUCAUCUUCCCUGUCACAAUGGGGCACCUGGCGCUAUAGACACUUGGGAAACACACAGAUCUGGGGUCCUACAGUGUCCAGGUGAAGACGCCGGGAGUCAGAGAGGAAAGUCUUUUGAAGCCUCCAAAAGGAAUGCACAGGACCCCACUUGAAGAGGUGGAGUGCCCAGUGGCGGAUACAGGCCCCACACAUCGCAGCAGUAAACAGGGACUCCACGGUGUCCAGCUCUCCAGCCUGGGGUUUCUCAUCACCCAGUGAUUCCAAAAGAAACGAUCUACAAUGGCAUGACUAAGUUCCAGAAACAAAUAAACAAAAUACUGAGGGAAGCCCGUUGGUCACUUUGAUUCUUCAAAGGUGACAAUUGUCCCUCCCUGAAAUCUUGUGAGUGCAUGAACAGGCUAUUCUAAUGUAAAUGAAAUUCACACUAAAACUGAUUGAAAGAUGAUUCUGUUUCCAAGGUACUUUGUAUUCUCAAAUUGCACCUGCUUACCCUGGCCCCCUCAAAAUGGAAGAGUGAUGACUAUUUGUCUUCGUAGCACUGUGGGGACACAGAGCCUUAAAUGGAAGAGUGUCAAAAGCAACAUUCCAUAAAGGGCUGUCACUUCCAAUUUUCAAGCAAGGUUGGAAACCAACCAUGAUGUAUGAAACACUGUUGGCCAAAGUGCACAAUUAGUAAUACAAAAUGAAUAAUAUAAACUAUUGUAAAUAUGUGUGGACAUCGUGGCAAUUUGGACAUCAAAAAACACUGCCAAAUUCAGAAAGAGGAAGCUGUAAACUCAUGGCUGUUAGGAAGCUUAACUUCUGUGUACUAGAACCUAUCAAAAUUAAAUUUCUCCAUGUCAA
ensembl:lncRNA novel transcript